GAUGCACGAUUCCACUCAACUGACGUAAUAGUGGUGCCAUGUUUUCUAGAUGGCCACGGAAUAAGCUUAUUUCUAUUACGUAUGACACUACGCAAACGUCAAAUAAUGAUAAACUUGUGCAGAACUCGGUGUUGUGUAUGAACCAAUUUUCUAGGAAAUUUCAAGUGCACCGCAGCCGACGAAAACGCAUCACCGAGUCGCAGUGGAUCAUCAAGAUUACCCUCCAGAAAACGCGCUACAUUUACGACUACCGGCGGGAAGCUAACAGCCAGGAGUUGUUUUAUGCUGCCUAACUGAAGGACAAAAUCGUCGAAGGGAAUCUAUGCUGCCUGCGGUGCAUCCAGACGAGGAACACUUUUGAACAAACUGCAUCUGCCGAGUGCCGGAUACCAAAUUCGAAGCUGGAAGAGGGCCGAGUGGUAAAGUGCGUGCACUGUGGAUGCCUUGGUCACUCCAGAUGGAAUAAAGUGCCUCCAUGUCCUAAACAUGGUAGCAAUGCUAAAUGCCAACCAACUCUGUGACAACCUCGGUUUCGUGGAUUUCAACGACGACGUUCAGAUCCCUUCGAGUUUCGACCACGAGCGGAGCGACGUUCCCGGCCACCAACACGACUUCCGUCACCAGAAAUCCCAAUUAGAAGCAU